rnacentral:lncRNA from 1 species
CUCUGCCGUUUGCCGAUAAAUGCCUCAGACACACCGAACGGGUCCGGGGCAGGGAAAUUCGGGUUAGGUUUAGAUCGCUGCUGUUAAAGCGUUCAGAGGCGUUCAUCUGCACCCCCCUGCACAGUGACCUUCCGGGUGCUGCUUACUGGACCCGGACCAGGAGGGGCAGAGGAAAAUUGCAGUGUAAGCACCGGGCCUGGACUGCUGCUGGUGUAAGCCUGGAGAUCUUUGCUGAGGGAAUGAAGAGCCAGUGCAGUGAAACUGGCAACCUGAACUGGUACAACUCAGAAUGGACAAGCCAGAGAAAAGCAGUGGGCAGCUAUGUGAGCUGGAGUUCAACUACCCCCGAGUUCCAGCAGUGAUGCUCAGAAAGCACUCUGUGUAAAUCUCUUCAUCCAGAACCAACAUCCACUCUCAAACAAGCCUGCUGGUUUUAGACAUAGCUAGAAAGCAUUGGUGCUAUGCUUUCCCUGUAACUUCAGAAAAUGAAGAGAACGAAGAAGAUAAGAAUGGCAAUAUCCACUGAGUAUUGUAAUAAAAAGGCAACAACCUA